GUCCACCAAAGGCCUGCCUGUUUGAAGACUGUCAAUCCAUCCCCACACCUUCCCAGGCAUCACUGAACUGGAAGUCAGAAGCUUUACAGAGUCUCUAGUCCUGACUUGGAUUGGGCAUGAGGGAAUUCAGCUGGUCCAGCAUGAGCUGAGAGCAAAGACCAGAACAUCAAAGACCAGAACAUUGAGUCAAUGAUUACGCAUUCUGUUAAGCACUGGGGAAUACAAAGAAAGGCAAAAAUAGUCCCUGUUCUCAAGGAGUUUACCAUAUAUUGGGAGAGACAACAGGCAAACAACUGCGGACAGGAUAAGUGGAAGGUAAUAACUGAGGGAAAGUACUAGUAUUAAGGGAGACUGAGAAAGGCUUGUUGCAGAACAUGGGAUUUUAGCUGAUACUAGAAGGAAGCCAGAAAGUAGAGAGGAGAAAAGAAAACACAGGCACAGCCAAUGAAAAGGCAUGAAGUUGGGAGAUGGACUGUCC